UGCCAUCAGUACCAUCAAUGCCAGCUAUGUCAUCUAUACCUUCUAUGCCAGUGUUGCCUCCUUUACCACCUUUCUCAGCAUUACCUAAUGUGCCACUGAUGACUGAUGGGGCAGUAGAUCCCAAUGUCCUUGCACAGCAGCAGCAAGCCAUCAUCAACCAGCAAGCCAUCAUACUUGCUCAGCAAAUGACAAUGCAAGCAAUGGCCCUACAACAGCAGAUGUAUAAUUCAGUGGGUAGGCCAUACACUGGUCCAUCUUAUCACAAUGAACAUGCAUCAAUGCCCCGCUCUGGCCAAUCAAGCCCA
ensembl:lncRNA